rnacentral:rRNA from 1 species
CCUACGGGGGGCAGCAGUGGGGAAUAUUGCACAAUGGGCGCAAGCCUGAUGCAGCCAUGCCGCGUGUGUGAAGAAGGCCUUCGGGUUGUAAAGCACUAUCAGCGGGGAGGAAGGCGUUAAGGUUAAUAACCUUGGCGAUUGACGUUACCCGCGGAAGAAGCACCGGCUAACUCCGUGCCAGCAGCCGCGGUAAUACGGAGGGUGCAAGCGUUAAUCGGAAUUACUGGGCGUAAAGCGCACGCAGGCGGUCUGUCAAGUCGGAUGUGAAAUCCCCGGGCUCAACCUGGGAACUGCAUUCGAAACUGGCAGGCUAGAGUCUUGUAGAGGGGGGUAGAAUUCCAGGUGUAGCGGUGAAAUGCGUAGAGAUCUGGAGGAAUACCGGUGGCGAAGGCGGCCCCCUGGACAAAGACUGACGCUCAGGUGCGAAAGCGUGGGGAGCAAACAGGAUUAGAUACCCCGGUAGUC